rnacentral:rRNA from 1 species
UGGGGAAUAUUGCGCAAUGGGGGAAACCCUGACGCAGCGACGCCGCGUGAGCGAUGAAGGCCUUAGGGUUGUAAAGCUCUGUUUUAGGGGACGAAUGUCUAGAUCAGUAAUAUGGGUUUAGAAUGACGGUACCCUAAGAGGAAGCCCCGGCUAACUACGUGCCAGCAGCCGCGGUAAGACGUAGGGGGCGAGCGUUGUCCGGAAUUACUGGGCGUAAAGAGCACGUAGGCGGGAACUUAAGUCAGGUGUGAAAGACCGGGGCUCAACUCCGGGGUGGCACUUGAAACUGGGGUUCGUGAGGGCAGGAGAGGAAAGCAGAAUUCCUGGUGUAGCGGUGAAAUGCGUAGAAAUCAGGAGGAAUACCAGUGGCGAAGGCGGCUUUCUGGACUGACCCUGACGCUGAGGUACGAAAGCGUGGGUAGCAAACA